AACGGCCGUACCAUGCUGAAUAUACCGGUUCCCGUUAGAUCACCGAAGUCAAGCAUCAUUGGGCGCGGUCAGUACUUGGGUGGGUGACUACCGGGGAACACCGCGUGCCGUU